CUAAGGUUCGUAGUCGAGAGGGAAACAGCCCGGACCAUCGGCUAAGGUCCCGAAAUUAUGCUAAGUGUUAAAUGAAGUGUGGAUGCACAGACAGCCAGGAGGUUGGCUUAGAAGCAGCCAUUCCUUAAAAGAGUGCGUAACAGCUCACUGGUCGAGCAUUCAUGCGCAGACAAUGUAACGGGGCUAAGCAUAAUACCGAAGCCAUGGACUCAUAGCAAAAGUUAUGAUUGGUAGGGGAGCAUUCCAUUAACUGAAGAAGGAAUACCUGAGAGGGGUUCUGGAGGAGAUGGAAGAGAGAAUGCAGGUAUAAGUAACGAAAAGACGGGUGAGAUUCCCGUCCGCCGAAAACAUAAGGKUUCCAGGGUAAAGGCAAUCUGCCCUGGGUAAGUCGGUCCCUAAGUCCAGGCCGAAAGGCGUAGACGAUGGGAAAUCGGUUUAUAAUCCGAUACCUUCUUUAGUUUCGAGGGCCGAACGCAUGAGGUGAAAUCCGGCCGGAAAAUGGUAUUUCCGGUCAAACCGUCARCCUGAUGAAGUUUAGGAGGAAAUCUGUCGACUGAAGUAAGCCGUUACAGCGAGUGGAAGGAAAGUUGAAGCGAAGCGGACGUAGUCAUGGUGCCGAGAAAUAGUGUCUAAGGCUAGGCCAAGAAUCACCGUACCGUACACGGACACAAGUAUGUGGGAUAUUARUUAUCUAGCGCUCACGAGCGACCUCGUGUUAGAGAACUCCGCAAAGUGCACACGUCUUUUCGGAAGAUGUGUGGCUCGUAUGAUAUAAUAUUGAGAGCGGCAGAGAGCGCGCUCGCGCGACUGUUUAUCAAACACACAGCCCUCUGCGAACCAGCUGUGACACGU
rnacentral:rRNA from 1 species